AUAUUUAUCUGGGGAAGAGAUGCCGGGGUUUUCCCAGGGUGAGGCUCAUCCAUUGCAUCUGGGUUUGCUGGACCCAGUGUGAGAAACUCGACCUCGUAAUUUGGGAUAGUGGGGGACGGCAUUCGUCCUUUU
rnacentral:snRNA from 1 species